rnacentral:rRNA from 1 species
GACGAACGCUGGCGGCGCGCUUAACACAUGCAAGUCGAGCGAGAACCGAGGCUUCGGCCUCGGGGACAGCGGCGAACGGGUGAGUAACACGUGGACAACCUGCCCUCGGCACCGGGAUAGCCCGGGGAAACCCGGAUUAAUACCGGAUGGCCCUUCCGGCUUCAGAGCCGGUCGGAAAAGGUAGCUUCGGCCUCCGGCCGAGGAGGGGUCCGCGGCGGAUUAGCUUGUUGGUGGGGUAACGGCCUACCAAGGCUCCGAUCUGUAGCUGGUCUGAGAGGACUAUCAGCCACACUGGGACUGAGACACGGCCCAGACUCCUACGGGAGGCAGCAGUGGGGAAUCUUGCGCAAUGGGCGAAAGCCUGACGCAGCGACGCCGCGGGAGGGAAGAAGGCCUUCGGGUUGUAAACCUCUUUCAGCAGGGACGAAGCUACUCGGGUGAACAGCCCAGAGGGUGACGGUACCUGUAGAAGAAGCCCCGGCUAACUACGUGCCAGCCGCCGCCGUAAUAC